AAAUUAACAACAACCAACAACAACAACCUAUCCGGAUCUAGAAUUUCUUGGAAUUUUUUUGGCAACUUCAUUACAAAUAGAACCGAAACUUUUGAACUAAGUUGUUGUGACUGUGUUGCUGAUGUUUACUUUAAUUUUCUAUCUGACAGAUCUUUUUAAUUUCUCUAAUUAAUUUCGUUUUUUGAAUUUUUCAUUGCUAUUAAGUAAUUGUCUAGGAUAUACUAAUUAUUAAUAUUCCCAGGCUUUUAAAUUGCGACGUAAGCAUCCGAAGUUGCUACACGUUGGUGGAAAACUGUGCAGCAAUUUGAAAUAAAAAAUUACGAAGCAUUUUUUUUAAUAAAAAAAUAAUGUCGCCUGUUAAAGGUAAUCUAAAGUGUAAGAUGCAGAAUAUUUCUUGGAUAUUUCAUUGAUUCCAUUUUAUUGUAUGAUGCUCAUACCCUUGAUGCCUUCAUUGCUACUCUGUUAAUUGACUUUAAAGUUUUAUAUACUAUUCUAGUUUAAAAAGAUGUCCCAGUUUGAUAGAAAUAACUCAAAUCAUCUUGGAGCAAGGAGCAAAAUUAAGGUUUCUGCUGAUUCAAACUCAAGAAAA